GACGAACGCUGGCGGCGUGCUUAAUACAUGCAAGUCGAACGGUGAUGCUCCAGCUUGCUGGUGUGGAUCAGUGGCGAACGGGGGAGUAACACGUGAGCAACCUGCCCCUGUCUCUGGAAUAUGCGCUGGAAACGGCGUCUAAUACUGGAUACGAAACUGUCCAGCAUGGGCAUGGUUUGGAAAGUUUUUCGGUUUGGGAUGGUCUCGCAGGAUAUCAGCUUGUUGGUGAGGUAGUGGCUGACAAAGGCGACGACGGGUAGCCGGCCUGAGAGGGCGACCGGCCACACUGGGACUGAGACACGGCCCAGACUCCUACGGGAGGCAGCAGUGGGGAAUAUUGCACAAUGGGCGAAAGCCUGAUGCAGCGACGCCGCGUGAGGGAUGACGGCCUUCGGGUUGUAAACCUCUUUCAGCAGGGAAGAAGCGAAAGUGACGGUACCUGCAGAAGAAGCACCGGCUAACUACGUG
rnacentral:rRNA from 1 species